UGUCUGAUUGAACCCGCAGACCUACCGUGUGUUGUAUUGGGUACUGGUUGUGCAAGCUGAGGAUGGAACAGUUUCGGCAGAUAGGAGAAGUAUUAGGAAGCCUGAAGGCCUUAAUGGUGUUCCGCAGCAAUAUACAAAUCAACGGGCACCAAUGUUGUUUGUUGCUGGACAUGUUGAGCUGCGCUUACGAAGUCGUGGCUGACGAGAUGAAACAGAACCUGCGGUUUGAAGAGAAGCACGCGAAAUGGAGAAUCCUGGAACAGCCAUUGAAAGAGCUCCUCAGAGUAUUCAAGGAAGGAGAGAUCUAUAUCAGGCUCUGCUUGGAUAGCAAGGACUGGUGGGCGAAAACCAUGAUCCUAUAUCAAAACACAGAUUGCAUUGACCUUCACAUCCACAACCUGUUAAGUUGCAUGCCAGUCGUCAUUGAAGCGAUCGAGAUCGCCGGAGAAAUUUCCGGUUGGGAUCAUGAUGAGAUGCAAAAGAGGAGAUUGGUGUACUCGAAAAAGUACCAAAAAGAAUGGAAGGACCCGAAGCUCUUCCAAUGGAAAUUCGGCAGACAAUACCUUGUGACUCAAGAUUUCUGCCACCGGUUAGAGCAAGUGUGGAAGGAAGAUAGAUGGCUUCUUAUGAAUAACAUCCGGGAGAAGAGUAUUUCAGGCUCAGCAAUAAAGUAUGAGCAGCGACUUAACGAUCUGCUGUUAAGGAACUUGGAUUUGUGGGAACCUUCCAAUUGGAAACUCUUGCCGUGUUCGAUCUUAGUCGGGUCAAAGGACUACCAGGUGAGGCGGAGGCUAGGCAGUGGAAGCCAAUACAAGGAGAUACUUUGGUUGGGCGAAACCUUUGCUUUGCGACAUCUUUUCGGGAACACGGAGACCUUAGUUCCUGAGAUUUCGUUGAUACAUACUCUUUCCCACCCCAAUAUACUGCAUUUUCUUUGUAGCUUCCUCGACGAGGAAAAGAAAGAGUGUUUCGUGGUCACGGAGCUGAUGAACAGAGACCUAGGCAGCUACAUCAAGGAAAUCUGCGGACCGCGAAAACGGAUUCCUUUCUCUCUUCCCGUGGCCAUCGACUUGAUGUUUCAGAUUGCUAGAGGGAUGGAGUAUCUCCACUCUAAGAAAAUCUACCAUGGAGAUCUCAAUCCUUCUCGCGUUCUCUUGAGGGCAAGAGGUAGUUCAGGAGAAGGAUACCUGCAAGCCAAGGUCUCAGGAUUCGGCCUGUCUUCCUGUAAAAAUUCCUCCCAAAAGACAUCUUUAAGUCAAGAUGGAAUCAUUUGGCACUCUCCCGAAGUUCUAGCCGAGAAUGAAGAGACGGGAAGUACCAGAGACACGAAACACACGGAGAAGUCUGACGUCUACAGUUUCGGGAUGAUUUGCUUUGAACUUCUAACUGGAAAAGUACCCUUUGAGGAUGCGCAUCUUCAAGGGGACAAAAUGAGCAGGAACAUCAGGGCAGGAGAGAGGCCCUUGUUCCCAUUCCAUUCGCCGAAAUACUUGACCAACUUGACGAAGAGAUGUUGGCAUAUCGAUCCGAAUCAACGGCCGAGCUUCUCUUCCAUUUGUAGGAUCCUUCGCUACGUGAAGCGCUUUCUCGCAAUGAAUCCUGAUUGCGGUAGCCAGCCAGACCAGCCGAUGCCAUCUGUGGACUACCACGAUAUCGAAUCGAGGCUACUGAAGAAAUUUCCAUCUUGGGAGAGCCCCAACCAAUUGCCGGUAUCGGACGUACCAUUUCAGAUGUUCGCUUACAGAGUAGCGGAGAGGGAGAAAUCAGGUGCCUGUCUUAAAGAGAACAACUCCGAAUCGGGUAGCGAGGGAGCUUCCGUCUGUGGGGAUGAAGUCACGACCAGUUUGGACGAUCCUCUCCCGUCAGCAGCUGAGACGAAACUAUCGCUUUCUCCUGAAACUUCGAGCAAGAACUUGACAUCGUUGAAAAGACUAACGGACGUCAAACAAAACAGACAACCUGGGACACCAAGAGGGCGGUCACACCGACCUCCGCAGAUUACUCCAACCGGGCGAAGCAUUAGAAUGAAUUCAGAGAGUCAGCUGCUGCAGAUGAGUCCAAAGAUGAAGAGGUCAUCGUCUGGUAAUUCAUCGGAUUGAGAGCUUUCUGAAUAA